rnacentral:rRNA from 1 species
AGUGAACGCUGGCGGUAGGCCUAACACAUGCAAGUCGAACGGCAGCACAGUAAGAGCUUGCUCUUACGGGUGGCGAGUGGCGGACGGGUGAGGAAUACAUCGGAAUCUACUUUUUCGUGGGGGAUAACGUAGGGAAACUUACGCUAAUACCGCAUACGACCUACGGGUGAAAGCAGGGGAUCUUCGGACCUUGCGCGAUUGAAUGAGCCGAUGUCGGAUUAGCUAGUUGGCGGGGUAAAGGCCCACCAAGGCGACGGUCCGUAGCUGGUCGGAGAGGAUGAUCAGCCACACUGGAACUGAGAGACCGUCCAGACUCCUGCGGGAGGCAGCAGUGGGGAAUAUUGGACAAUGCGCGCAAGCCUGCUCCAAGCAUACCGAGUGGGUGAAGAAGGCCUUCGGGUUGUAAAGCACUUUUGUUGGGAAAGAAAAGCAGCAUGUUAAUACCCCGCUGUUCUGACGGUACCCAAAGAAUAAGCACCGGCUGACUUCGUG